rnacentral:rRNA from 1 species
AACCUGGUUGAUCCUGCCAGUAGUCGUAUGCUUGUCUCAAAGAUUAAGCCAUGCAUGUCUAAGUACACGCCAAAACAAGGCUAAACCGCGAAUGGCUCAUUAAAUCAGUUGUGGUUCCUUAGAUUAUACAAAAUUACUUGGAUAACUGUGGUAAUCCUAGAGCUAAUACAUGCUACAAACGCUUCGUCCUCGCGGACGGAGAGCUUUUAUUAGAUCAGGACCAAUGGGGUUUCGCCUCGGCGUGCCUCGUCAAAUCUUGGUGACUCUGAAUAACCAUUAUGCUGAUCGCACGGUCACGUACCGGCGACGAAUCUUUCAAGUGUCUGCCUUAUCAACUGUCGAUGGUAGGUUAAGCGCCUACCAUGGUUGUCACGGGUAACGGGGAAUCAGGGUUCGAUUCCGGAGAGGGAGCCUGAGAAACGGCUACCACAUCCAAGGAAGGCAGCAGGCGCGCAAAUUACCCACUCCCGGCACGGGGAGGUAGUGACGAAAAAUAACGAUACGGGACUCAUAUGAGGCUCCGUAAUCGGAAUGAGUACAAUUUAAAUCCUUUAACAAGGAUCCACUGGAGGACAAGUCUGGUGCCAGCAGCCGCGGUAAUUCCAGCUCCAGUAGUCUACAUUAAAGCUGUUGCGGUUAAAAAGCUCGUAGUUGGAUCUCGGUUCGUGGCGAUCGGACCGUCUUCGUGACGGAUUCCAGAUCGAUCCGAACAGAAAUAGCCGGUUAGCCUGGCGAUGCUCUUCAUCGAGUGUGUGUCGGGCGGCUGGUACGUUUACUUUGAAAAAAUUAGAGUGCUCAAAGCAGGCCUUAGCGCCAGAAUAAUAGUGCAUGGAAUAAUGGAAUAGGAUCUCGGUUCUAUUUUGUUGGUUCUCGGAACACGAGAUAAUGAUUAAUAGGAACAGACGGGGGCAUUCGUAUUGCGACGUUAGAGGUGAAAUUCUUGGAUCGUCGCAAGACGGACUACUGCGAAAGCAUUUGCCAAGAAUGUUUUCAUUAAUCAAGAACGAAAGUUAGAGGUUCGAAGGCGAUCAGAUACCGCCCUAGUUCUAACCAUAAACGAUGCCAACCAGCAAUCCGCCGGCGUUAAAACCGUGACCCGGUGGGCAGCUUCCGGGAAACCAAAGUGUUUGGGUUCCGGGGGAAGUAUGGUUGCAAAGCUGAAACUUAAAGGAAUUGACGGAAGGGCACCACCAGGAGUGGAGCCUGCGGCUUAAUUUGACUCAACACGGGAAACCUCACCAGGCCCGGACACCGGAAGGAUUGACAGAUUGAGAGCUCUUUCUUGAUUCGGUGGGUGGUGGUGCAUGGCCGUUCUUAGUUGGUGGAGCGAUUUGUCUGGUUAAUUCCGAUAACGAACGAGACCCUAACCUGCUAACUAGGCGACGGAUCUGCUAAUAGAUACCGUUCGUCGAUCUUCUUAGAGGGACAGGCGGCUUUCAGCCGCACGAAAUUGGGCAAUAACAGGUCUGUGAUGCCCUUAGAUGUUCUGGGCGGCACGCGCGCUACAAUGAAGGAAUCAACGUGUGCUCCUAGUCCGAAAGGACCGGGUAAUCCGCUGAACCUCCUUCGUGCUAGGGAUUGGGGCUUGGAAUUCUUCCCCAUGAACGAGGAAUUCCCAGUAAGCGCGAGUCAUAAGCUCGUGUUGAUUACGUCCCUGCCCUUUGUACACACCGCCCGUCGCUACUACCGAUUGAAUGAUUUAGUGAGGCCUUCGGACUGGUGCCUGAGUAGGCGUUUCCAGCCCGCGCGGUGCUGCCGGAAAGAUGGCCGAACUUGAUCAUUUAGAGGAAGUAAAAGUCGUAACAAGGUUUCCGUAGGUGAACCUGCAGAAGGAUC